ensembl:lncRNA
GGACAGUGCAACCGCUAGCACCUCUGCAGCCAGUUUCCCCUGUGCGCUCCCUCAAUCACUGUCCAUGGAAAAGGGCUAUUUCACACUUUAACGAAGGACUCCAUUUCAACAAGUCACCAGAGAGUUGGAGAAAAAAAAAAUAAAGCACAAAAAAGAAAGCAAGAAGGAAUUGCAACAAGGAGGACAGGAGGAAGGAACUGAGAGACAGACAUCACCUCCUGCGAUCUACUCCCCCAGUUAAAGGAGAGAGAGAGAAAGAGAGGACAGGAGGGAAAAACGGAAGUCGCUGGGAUAUUCGUUUUUUUCUUUCGUUUUGUUUUUUUCUUUUUCCUCAUUGUGGUGCUGGGAGGCUCGUCUUCUUUUCACCUGUUUGCGCUCUCCAUCAUUUGCCUCCUGAUUUAUUUCUCCAUCUACAUGGUGUACAAUUUUGUCUACCUAUGACACACACUGGAUCAGGGAAAGAAGGGGAGAGGGGCUUUUUUCCGUUCUUUCCUUUCAUUCGCUUUCCAGUGGCCCUUGGUUCUGACUUUGAUCCGACUUCACUCCUCCAUCAGUCCCUCCUUCCCAUCUCCGGUCGGACCAUCCCUCUCUCCAUCCAUCCUGCCCCCCUCCAACAAAAAAACUCUGGCAUUCACUGAAUGAAAGUUGGACAGAAUUCUUAAAAAAGUCUACAGUCUACCACAUUCCUCUUCUUUUAGUUGUAUCAUCCUUUCUUUCCCCCCUCUUUUCCUUUUUUCCUUCCCUUGGUCCUCCAAUACCUGUCCUUUCACAUCACUCCUUUUUUUCCGGAUGCUUUAAAGUUCCUCUAGGACAUCGUUGGAAAGCCUGUGAUUUGGCUCUAUGGACAUGUCAGUGGAGAUCCUCUUGUGUUUCUUGUAUUUUCUCUGUCCCAUUUGUCCAUCACCCAGAUAUCAGUGACACACUGCAGAAAAGGUUGCAAUGUGAUGCAAUAAGGAGGCAGUGGAGGAUGCAGGUGGGGAUCUUCAAAAAGAACUGAACGACAGCUUGAGACCUACAUCAGUGAAGAUCUAAAGAUAUUUCUUCUUCAAAAAUAGUAUCUUUUUGAGAUACCAAGAAAGAAGCCAAAAGGACAAAACUCACUGUCAGCUGCUUGCAAACUUUCAUUUUUCGGCUCACUAGUGUUGACUCAUAUCAGUUGUUGUUUUUUUUUGUAAGAAGACGAUGCCACCAGAGACAUAAGCCUCAGGAGUGCUAUCCAGGGCAUUUAGAUGCAUUUUUUGUAUGUGUAUUUUUACUAAAAGAGACAGACAUUU